UACGUAGGGUGCAAGCGUUGUCCGGAAUUAUUGGGCGUAAAGAGCUCGUAGGCGGUUUGUCGCGUCGAAUGUGAAAACCCGGGGCUCAACCCCGGGCCUGCAUUCGAUACGGGCAGACUAGAGUUCGGUAGGGGAGUCUGGAAUUCCUGGUGUAGCGGUGAAAUGCGCAGAUAUCAGGAGGAACACCGGUGGCGAAGGCGGGCCUCUGGGCCGAUACUGACGCUGAGGAGCGAAAGCGUGGGGAGCAAACAGG
rnacentral:rRNA from 1 species